rnacentral:misc_RNA from 1 species
GAUGAAGAACGUAGCAAAAUGCGAUACUUGGUGUGAAUUGCAGAAUCCCGUGAACCAUCGAGUUUUUGAACGCAAGUUGCGCCCGAAGCCUUUUGGCCGAGGGCACGUCUGCCUGGGCGUCACGCAUCGCGUCGCCCCCCACAAUUCUCCGUAAAGGGAACAUGUGUUUUGGGGGCGGAUAUUGGUCUCCCGUGCUCAUGGCGUGGUUGGCCGAAAUAGGAGUCCUUUCGAUGGACGCACGAACUAGUGGUGGUCGUAAAAACCCUCGUCUUUUGUUUCGUGCUGUUGCUCGCAAGGUAAACUCUUUAAAAACCCCAAUGUGUCGUCUCUUGACGACGCUUCGACCGCGACCCCAGGUCAGGCGGGACUACCCGCUGAGUUUAAGCAUAUCAAUAAGCGGAGGA